rnacentral:rRNA from 1 species
GACGAACGCUGUUGGCGUGCUUAACACAUGCAAGUCGAACGGAAAGGCCCUGCUUUUGUGGGGUGCUCGAGUGGCGAACGGGUGAGUAACACGUGAGUAACCUGCCCUUGACUUUGGGAUAACUUCAGGAAACUGGGGCUAAUACCGGAUAGGAGCUCCUGCUGCAUGGUGGGGGUUGGAAAGUUUCGGCGGUUGGGGAUGGACUCGCGGCUUAUCAGCUUGUUGGUGGGGUAGUGGCUUACCAAGGCUUUGACGGGUAGCCGGCCUGAGAGGGUGACCGGCCACAUUGGGACUGAGAUACGGCCCAGACUCCUACGGGAGGCAGCAGUGGGGAAUAUUGCACAAUGGGCGGAAGCCUGAUGCAGCAACGCCGCGUGCGGGAUGACGGCCUUCGGGUUGUAAACCGCUUUCGCCUGUGACGAAGCGUGAGUGACGGUAAUGGGUAAAGAAGCACCGGCUAACUACGUGCCAGCAGCCGCGGUGAUACGUAGGGUGCGAGCGUUGUCCGGAUUUAUUGGGCGUAAAGGGCUCGUAGGUGGUUGAUCGCGUCGGAAGUGUAAUCUUGGGGCUUAACCCUGAGCGUGCUUUCGAUACGGGUUGACUUGAGGAAGGUAGGGGAGAAUGGAAUUCCUGGUGGAGCGGUGGAAUGCGCAGAUAUCAGGAGGAACACCAGUGGCGAAGGCGGUUCUCUGGGCCUUUCCUGACGCUGAGGAGCGAAAGCGUGGGGAGCGAACAGGCUUAGAUACCCUGGUAGUCCACGCUGUAAACGGUGGGUACUAGGUGUGGGGUCCAUUCCACGGGUUCCGUGCCGUAGCUAACGCUUUAAGUACCCCGCCUGGGGAGUACGGCCGCAAGGCUAAAACUCAAAGGAAUUGACGGGGCCCCGCACAAGCGGCGGAGCAUGCGGAUUAAUUCGAUGCAACGCGUAGAACCUUACCUGGGUUUGACAUGGAUCGGGAGUGCUCAGAGAUGGGUGUGCCUCUUUUGGGGUCGGUUCACAGGUGGUGCAUGGCUGUCGUCAGCUCGUGUCGUGAGAUGUUGGGUUAAGUCCCGCAACGAGCGCAACCCUUGUUCACUGUUGCCAGCACGUUAUGGUGGGGACUCAGUGGAGACCGCCGGGGUCAACUCGGAGGAAGGUGGGGAUGACGUCAAGUCAUCAUGCCCCUUAUGUCCAGGGCUUCACGCAUGCUACAAUGGCUGGUACAGAGAGUGGCGAGCCUGUGAGGGUGAGCGAAUCUCGGAAAGCCGGUCUCAGUUCGGAUUGGGGUCUGCAACUCGACCUCAUGAAGUCGGAGUCGCUAGUAAUCGCAGAUCAGCAACGCUGCGGCGAAUACGUUCCCGGG